UGACACAGUCACAUUGACAAGAUGCAUAAU
rnacentral:piRNA from 1 species